rnacentral:lncRNA from 1 species
AAUAUAGCCGGGGAUGGCAGCUUCAACGACAAUGGGAAUGGCUUCGAGUCCCCAGCCAUCUAUGUGAGUAUUGCAAGAGACCAGGACCUCCAUCACAACAGGAGCUAACAGGCAGUCCUCCUUUCCCUGGGCUCCCAAGCAGGAAGAAAAUCAGGAGCCAUCCCUUCCCUGAGGAACCCGCCCUAGGCCUGAGCCAUAUCUGCUGCCUUGGGCUGGAGAGGGUGUGGGAAAGAUGUGGGGGGUGUGUGUGUGUGGGGGGGGAGUGUCUCGGGAAUAUCCGUCCCUGUCCUGCUCCAGCCCCUGUCCCCAGGGUGUAUCCUCUUCCUCCUCAAAAUGGCUCCCACAUGACCUGGGCUCCUUCCUCUGCUGCAGACUCAGGGCCCUGGACAAUCUGGGAGAGACUGAGGUGUAGUGGGGGGAAGAUGUGGUGGUGGGAGCAGAGCAGGACUCAGGUAACCCUCAUUCUCUCUGUUUUUCAGGAACCUCUGGGUGCCUCAGGCGUGAGUAUUUCCACUCUCAAGCAGCCCUUCUCCCCUUCCCACCCCACACAGGGCUCCUGGGGUGCCCCCUCCAUGUAUCACUCAGGACCUCAGGACAAGGGGGCACCAGGAGCCCCCAGGCAGCCCCACUAUAACAGCACUUUCAUUGCAGAACCAUGAGAGCUUCGACUGGAACAGGGUCGGCCACAACAGCUUCAAUGACAACGGG